rnacentral:rRNA from 1 species
UACAGAGGUCUCAAGCGUUGUUCGGAUUCAUUGGGCGUAAAGGGUGCGUAGGCGGCGCGGUAAGUCGGGUGUGAAAUCUCGGAGCUUAACUCCGAAACUGCAUUCGAUACUGCCGUGCUUGAGGACUGGAGAGGAGGGUGGAAUUCCGCGUGUAGCAGUGAAAUGCGUAGAGAUGCGGAGGAACACCGAUGGCGAAGGCAGCCCCCUGGGCCAACACUGACGCUCAGGCACGAAAGCGUGGGGAGCAAACAGG